UCAGGAAAUAGUUUAUAAAAAUAUUAAUUUUGGAGAUUAAAGAAAAAGUUAUCUUUUUUCCUGAA
rnacentral:tRNA from 1 species